GCGGCCCCCGGGGAGGGCGGCCUCGAACCGACGCUCCCCGCCCCGUCACCGAGAGCCCCCCCCGUUGGCGAUAACCACCGCGGGCAGCCGCUCCGCCCUCCCGGAGGCACCGAGCCGCCGGGCUCUGCGUGUCCCCUCCCAGAGGCCGGCCCCGAGAGCGGCGCUCCGCGGGCUGCCCCCUCACGGCCCCGCCGGCCGCACACCCCGGCAGGAGGCGCCGCUGCGGCCGUUGGCCGUGGGGGUGGCCGUGAGGGCUGCUGGCGGCCGGGCCUCUCUGCCCGCCUCAGUGCGGGGGUCGGCGAGGGGAGAGCUGAUGAGACCAAAUCCAAAGCUCUAGUCCCUGUUCCCAUUUAUACGAUUAUAUAUAUGUGUGUAUAAAGGUGCUUCUUCAUCAUCAUGAGAAACCAACCCAUUCCGGCGUGCGAAAGGGGUUUUUCAUACGCAGGCAGGCAGCACGCCUGUGCGGGCUGUGAUGUUUCAGUCAGACCUGGGCACGUCGGGAAGGCAAAACCUGACCUCGCCAAGCGAAGAGGCUGGCCGGGUGACCCCUUAAGUCCCACGGAACGAUGCUGCGCAGAGAGAUCAGUGCUUGCCCAUCCAACGUUUGUGUUUGAAAAGAAGGACCGUCCUUUGAAGCGGCCGGCAGAGGAACCAGUUUGCAAAGCUGAAAAUGAUUUCAUCUGUUGUUCCAGAAAACGUGCAAGAUCAUCAUCUUUUACUUUUCAGAAGUCUAACUCACUGUCUAAUACAGAUACAAAACUUGCUCAGAAAAGAGGGAGAUCAUCUUCCUUUACCAUCCUUCCUACCUUCCCUCCCUCCCAGCCAGUAAAGAAGAACAACAUAUUCAUGACCUCAGCUCUCUUUCGAAGAAACACUGAAGUCAAAACUACAAAAGAAGGAUCCUUGUCACAAAGUCAAUUGCGGAAUGUUAUUAGACCUGCCAUUUUACAACCCCCACAAGCCCUGACCUGUCCUGAAAAUCCUGUAGUAUCUCUAAUGACUAAGCAAGAAGCACAUAUUCAGUUACCUAAAGACAGCUCUUAUUCCUUAUCUGAGAAUUCAGUAAGUUCCAAAACAGCAGCAAAGUCAUCUAUUACCAUGAAUCCUUCUAGCUCUAAAGCAACACGAACAGAAAACAGAAGUGUAUUAUGCAACAGCAAUUCUAGUUUUGUGUUUGGAGAAAACAUGGAUGAGAGAGUUUUGAGCCCUGAAAAGCAUCCCAAGCCAUGUAAUGAAGUUGAUUCAUGUAAAGGAGAAACAACAUCCCUAUACAUAGAAUCUUUUCAAGUUAGUCCACAAACAAAAACAGCUUUGUUAAGGAAUACAACACUAAUUGAAUCAACAUCUGCUUGUAUUUCCAAGACAGUGGAGAAAGUUCUAUUAGAUAAAGUUGAAGUUAUAACGGGAGAAGAAGCAGAACACAAUGUAUUACAGAUUAACUGCAAGCUCUUCAUAUUUAAUAAGCUUUCUUUAACCUGGAUUGAAAGAGGCAGAGGAUCUCUCAGGCUUAAUGACACUUCUAGCAAUAAAUGUGGAAUGUUGCAAUCAAGGCUAAUUAUGCGAAAUCAAGGCAGCUUGAGACUGAUUCUCAACACCAGACUCUGGGAUCAAAUGGUAAUAAAAAGAGCAAACAGAAAAAGUGUGUGCUUCACUGCAACAGACCAAGAGGACCACUCUGUUCAAGUAUUUCUAAUUCAGGCAAGCUCAAAAGAUGCUGGAUAUCUGUAUGCAGCAAUACAUCACCGCCUUGUGGCAUUGCGAAGCUUUGCUGAGCAAGAACCAGAAGCUAACCAAAUAGACAUAGAGUCAGAAAUAGCUUUUCAGCCAUUAAACUGUGACAGUGAUGAAGAUGAUGAAAAAAUAACUCAAGUGAGCAGCAGUGGAUCUGAAUCCUCAGCAAACAGAAUGGGGAAUGCCACUUAACCAUUGCAUACAAAAUAGCCUAGUGAGGCUAUUCAAGGAGAAUGGUCUCCUUGUAGGCAACAACAUGAGCCCUGUAGAUAUGGAGGACCUAGCACCCAGUAGCUGUUCUGCAAUGAAUCACUCUAGAUGGAACCGCAGGCAGCCCGUAGUCUGCUCAUGACAUCUACCACACAGCAACAACAGCACCACUGGGAACUGAUCUUCCCUAAAUGCCUAAGAUGUCUCAUCAGAACGCGGAGGAAUGAAAUCAGAUGAAUUUUGCUUUGUAAUUUUUAAGCACAGAUUAAUUUUAGAGACAGCUUAAGUUCAAUAAAUUGGGAAAGAACUUGAGAGGCACUUUUGAGGAUUCCAGUCAGCCUGCUUUGCACUGAGAUAAGAAUGACAUGAUGGCAUCCAGUAUUCAAGAAUUGUUAAAAAGGCUUCAGAUUUUAUAAUUAAAUAUACUUAGAUUCAUUAUUAAAAUAAGGAAUUUUAUAGAGAAUCAAUUUUUAUUCAUCAUAUUGAUGGAUAAAAACAUAUAACCAUCACAUAAUAAAAUACCUGAAAGAUUUUUUUUUGUCUUUUAUUUAAAAGAUACAUUUUGAAGACUUUAAAUUGGGCAUCACUGAAAACAUUUAUUUAAAAUUGUCUGGUAAUAUUCAGCAUCUUGUUUGUAAUUACAUUCAAGCAGAAUUAUGACUGGCAGUUUAGCAUGACAAAGGCCAACAGAAAUCAAAAUUCAUAACUAAGCAAGUGGGGUUUUUUUGUUUGUUUUAAAUAUGUGGAGUUGUAGACUGGUUAUAGAAUUUUACUAAAGGACAAAGAACCAAUAUCUGCUUUUACACCCAAGAGCACCAGGAGGACUGAACACGAAGAACAGUAAACACAAGUUCCCGGGGGCAUGUGAGCUUUAAAUCUAUAAGUGUAUCUGUUUACACUUACGAACACCUUUUUGCUUGCUCAGAACAAGCACUGUUAACAGUCCAUUUGAUAUACACAAAUAAAUGCCUGGACAGUAUAACUAGAGAUCUGCAUAAAAUCUUUUAUAUGCAUAUCUAAGAUUAUUUAUGCUUUAUUAUUAGCUGAAGAUAUCCCUAAACAGCAUCUUGUAUUGAGAUGAAUAUUUUACACAGUCAAAUUAUGUGCAAUAAUCCAAACAGUGCCAAAGACCCAAUCACUCUGUAAAAGUGAUUCCACAAACUGCUGCUCACUACCCAACCAUUCUCAAGAAGAGUUAGUAAAAUCAAUUCUCUGUAAAGCCACCUGUGAAUUAAGACUUUCCAGAUCCUUCGUAAGCCUAUGACAGUGCAGGCACCAUUUAAAGCCAUGUGCUUUCUAUUCUUUCUGUCAACAGAUAAAGAAGGUGUCUGUAAUAAUUCUGCUGCAACGCUGCCUUGUAUCUUGUUGGUUAACUAAUAUUAUUUCCUGGUCAUUCUCAGAGCUUAAAAAGAAGUUCUGAAAUAUCUGAAGUCCUUUUAAUUAAUAAAGCUGUAAUGAUUUCUCAGCCUUAAAAGCUGCAUCAUACCUGAAGACUCAAGUUUUAAUUUAGUCUUGCAGUCUGAACAUACAAGUAUGAAGUUGGAAGAAUUCCAGCUUCCUGAAUUCUCAUUGCCGUGUCAAGAUCAGCUUCUAGAUGAAGCUGAACUAGCAUCUGGAUUACGCUGAAUCUUAAAUAGCUGGCCAAAAUUAGCACUUGUCUGACAUCUGGAUGACAGAAAGCUUGAGUGGGACUGGACUUUUGCCUUCAGAAAAAGGAAAGUCCUUCACUACAGAACAUUUGUCUCAAAUAGUGAAGCACUGGAACUCUUCAACUCUUCAGUUUGCUGGUAACAAAAAUGUUUUUUCCAUGACUAGCCGUACAGUGUGUCCCUUUCUAUCAGACUCACUGCUGACUAUAACAAUAUUUCCAUCACUGACCUUCAUAUUUCAUUGCUGCAACUCAUACGCAGGAGCUAAGCUCCAUGUUAUAAAAACCAGCAGUUGUUAAAAACAGCAGUUCCAUUUAUUUAGCAACAGGUCACGGUGAGAACUUUGUCCUGGAGUUCAGCUGGUUGUGCACUGAAAGUAGAGAUUGAUUUCAAAAUCUGCCUGGGUAAUCAAAGUGUUCCAUGAAAUCGAGUGUAGGCACCAGAGCGCCAUGAUAUCCCACAACAUCUAAAUUCUACUACUGCUAUAAAAUUAUUGGGAAAUAAGGAGCGUUCCAGAGUAGGUGCAACAGAAUUUUUGCAGACAAAGGACUUUAAAACUUUAUAAGUUGCUCUCACAGUGUAAGGAACAAAGCUUACAAUCAGUCACAAAUAAACUCUCUUCUCAGCUGCCUUUUCUCAAGAUCUUAUUAUACGUACACCAGAAUGCACACACACACACGAUCACACACACACACACGAUCACACACACACACAUUUAAAAAUGAAGCUAUAUCUCCUACAAGCUGAGGAGGAAAAGAGAUAUUUAAAUAUUGUGAGGAGUUUGGAUACUGUGGUAAUAGAAGACAAAUGAAUAUAUGUGCAGACAUAUUUAUGGUAUGAAUUUUUACUCUUUAUAUCCUAAUCCAUUAUUUAUUCUGUUUUGUCUCAUUGCACUAAGUUCUAUUGUUUCCCAAGACUGAAGGUAUGCUAAUAUGUAAUACAUAAUCUUGGUUUUGUAAAUGUAAAGUAUGCCACUUUUUGACUGCUGGAGCAACGAUUUCUAUGUCUAGAUAAUAAACAAUUUUCUUACAGCUUUAUCUUCCAUCUAA